GAACGCAAGUUGCGCCCUAGGCCCUACGGUCGAGGGCACGCCUGCCUGGGCGUCACGC
rnacentral:rRNA from 1 species